UACGAAGGGGGCAAGCGUUGUUCGGAUUUACUGGGCGUAAAGGGCGCGCAGGCGGCUUAUUUUGUCAGGCGUGAAAGCCCCGGGCUUAACCUGGGAACUGCGUUUGAUACGGAUGGGCUAGAGUUCGGGAGAGGAGCGUGGAAUUCCCAGUGUAGAGGUGAAAUUCGUAGAUAUUGGGAAGAACACCGGUGGCGAAGGCGGCGCUCUGGACCGAGACUGACGCUGAGGCGCGAAAGCGUGGGGAGCAAACAGG
rnacentral:rRNA from 1 species